GACGAACGCUGGCGGCGUGCCUAACACAUGCAAGUCAACUUGACUGAAGGAGCAAUCUGACAGUAGAGUGGCGCAAGGGUGCGUAACGCGUAAGUAACUUGCCCAAGGUAAGGAAUAACGUCGAGAAAUCGGCGCUAAUACCUCAUAAUGCAGCGGAUCCGCAUGGAUAUGUUGUUAAAGGUUUACCGCCUUGGGAUAGGCUUGCGUCUGAUUAGCUAGUUGGUGUGGUAACGGCACACCAAGGCUACGAUCAGUAACUGGUCUGAGAGGAUGAUCAGUCACACUGGAACUGAGACACGGUCCAGACUCCUACGGGAGGCAGCAGUGAGGAAUAUUGGGCAAUGCUCGAAAGAGUGACCCAGCAACGCCGCGUGGAGGAUGAAGGUAUUCUAUAUCGUAAACUCCUGUGAGAGCAGACGAAAGACAGAUUAUUAAUCUGGAUGACUGUAUGCUCAGAGGAAGCCCCGGCUAACUACGU
rnacentral:rRNA from 1 species